rnacentral:lncRNA from 1 species
AGUUUCCCAGGGAUCGAGCCAGACCCCGGCCAGGGAACAGGAAGAGGAGCUGCUCUUCUGUCUGUGCCCACCCAGGCCCUCACCCAGACUCGAUGACUGAGAGGGCUGAGUGCAGCUGCAGCCAUGUCUGUGACCCUCACUCUUCCUACCUUCUGCACCUUCUUCGUGAAACUGGAAGGAUCCCAGGCCACAUCCUUGACAACUGAGAGGGCAGAGUGCAGCUGCAGCCAUGCCCGCAUCCCUCACUCUUUUCUACCUUCUGCACCUUCUUAGUGAAACUGGAAGGAUCCCAGGCCUCAUCCAGAACACAUGGAAGAGAACUUUCCUAGGAAACAGCUCACAUGUCAGUUUUUAGGAUGUGGAACCACUGGGACUCCAUUGCUUGGUGCUGGGGCUGUGUGGCCUCCACUGGGCGCUUGCCAACCUGAGUCUGGGGCCAGGGGGUCCCUGACUGCCCAGCACUCCCGCCCCCAGCCCUCAGCCAGGUUUUCUUAAGGUAUUCCGUCAAACGAAGACAGCUGAGUCUUUCAAAGUUGUUGUAACUGGAGAUGGAAGGUUUCUGCUGCGUCCCCGCCUGCGCAGGGCUGCCCUCAGGCUGGCUUCCUGGGGGUUACUCCAGGGGCGUCUGCUUGCUAAAUGACAGCUAACUGACGCAUGUGCAGUGCUUCCUGGUGCCUUCCACAUGUCUGCAGAGCAGCAGGUUCUACACUUGGCAGUUUUGACAUCCUGCAGUUCCAGAAUACCUAUUGAUUUAAAGAGCUGUGGCCAUACAGGAAGAACAGCAAGAGCCGCUGGCAAAGGAUUCUGCCAAGAGAGAAUCCAAAGGUUACCCCUGAAUAGCAGAAUGCAACGCCCCAGCUCACCACUGGCCAGAGCACCAGCACACAGGCAGCAGUUCCUAGGCUGA